CCCGCCCUCAGCGCCUGUGGGGCGCCGCCCGGCGCCAUCUUGAGCGCGGCACCUCUCCGCCUUCCCCGAAGGUUAGCGAGAGCGUAGGGCGCGUUGCCAUCGCUCUCUCACACCGCCGCUAUUCGGAGAUGGAGAGUUGAAGGGGGGUGCCGAGAGCGGGACGUGGAGAAAGGCUCGGUUGCAAGCUCUUCAGGGCAGAGGAAACAUCUCUAUUUAUAAAACAGCCUGCGAAGUGGUACUGCUGAAUCGAGUGGUUUGUUAAAAUAACAAGAAAUUUUAGCAGAAAUCUGACGUGGAAAAGCAGUUUCCUGUGUAUCCACCUCUGCUCCGUACCUGGCUUUGAGAGAGGCUGAGAAGUGAAAAAAUUCCAGGCUUCUUUCAGGAAGAUUCAUCUUUCUGUCAGACAGAGGAUCAAGCUGAAUUUUUGUCUUAGAGAAACUGUUCCACUGCCGUAGCAGGAGAAGUCUUAAGGAACAGCCCAGGAGAAGCCGUGUGGGCUGACAAGGAGCCAGAAGAGCCACAAGAAGCACUGAAGGCAGAUCUAAAAGCCAAGGCCGUUCUGCUGUUGCAUGCUCUUGCUGAGGUUUGUUUG
ensembl:lncRNA